UGCUACUUGGGGGAGGGGUUUAGCAAACUGUAAAGUUACAACAAUACUACUGUUAAAAUUAGAAACUUAAAGCAGCAAAGUGUACGAUUUAACAGACUGGUUUGGGCAUAAAGGACUGGUUCUCUGUGCAACUGAGGGACUUUACAGUCGGAAGUAGGUGAAUGUCAUCGGCUCUUGUGACGCAUUUCCAAUGUACAACUCAGUCUAAAAUUGUUCCUGCAUUCAAAUAUUCCGUGGGAAUCUCUGUUGCUGCUACCUAUCAACCCAGUUCCACAGCCUUUCGGUGACAUAAAGGCUCACCUGUUGUUUGCUGCAGCUCGAGCAGGGCUUUGAUGGUGGAAGUGGCGGACUGGGACUCCCCGCCAGACACCUCCUGGUAGAUAAUAGUCGGGCUGGACUCCACAGACACUUCCUGC